UCUUUGUCGGCACUCCCUUGAAGGGGCGGCGGAAGUUGAUUUCUACCUUUAUUGGCGCUGCUCUUAGCUUGUUUAUCACCGUCGCUCACGAGGUAUUCUCACUCUCUGCGGCAACGCGCUUUCGGUUCCGCCGCGUGAUCGCAACGGAGGCGCGCGAAACGUGAGUUUUCUCUCUGUCGGCACUGUCUUGCAGUGGCGCUGAAGUUGAUUUCUAUCUUGAUUGGCGCUGUCUUAGCUUGUUUAUCAGCGCCGAUCACGAGGUAUUCUCGCUGUCUGCGGCAACGCGCUUACGCGGUUUCGGUCCCGCCGAAUGAUCGCAACGGAGGCGCGCGAAACGUGAGUUUUCUCUCUGUCGGCACUGUCUUGCAGUGGCGCUGAAGUUGAUUUCUAUCUUGAUUGGCGCUGUCUUAGCUUGUUUAUCAGCGCCGAUCACGAGGUAUUCUCGCUGUCUGCGGCAACGCGCUUACGCGGUUUCGGUCCCGCCGAAU